AGCGAACGCUGGCGGCAGGCUUAACACGUGCAAGUCGAACGGGCACCUUCGGGUGUCAGUGGCAGACGGGUGAGUAACACGUGGGAACGUACCCUUCGGUUCGGAAUAACUCAGGGAAACUUGAGCUAAUACCGGAUACGCCCUUUUGGGGAAAGGUUUACUGCCGAAGGAUCGGCCCGCGUCUGAUUAGCUUGUUGGUGGGUAACGGCCUACCAAGGCGACGAUCAGUAGCUGGUCUGAGAGGAUGAUCAGCCACACUGGGACUGAGACACGGCCCAG
rnacentral:rRNA from 1 species